UACGAAGGGGGGCUAGCGUUGCUCGGAAUCACUGGGCGUAAAGCGCACGUAGGCGGCUCUUUAAGUCAGGGGUGAAAUCCUGGAGCUCAACUCCAGAACUGCCCUUGAUACUGAGGAGCUUGAGUCCGGGAGAGGUGAGUGGAACUGCGAGUGUAGAGGUGAAAUUCGUAGAUAUUCGCAAGAACACCAGUGGCGAAGGCGGCGACCUGGACGGACAUUGACGCUGAGACGCGAAAGCGUGGGGAGCAAACAGG
rnacentral:rRNA from 1 species